rnacentral:tRNA from 1 species
GCGGGCGUGCCGGAAUUGGUAGACGGACCAGACUUAGGAUCUGGCGUGUCACGCACGUGGGAGUUCGAGUCUCCCCGCCCGCACCA